AUAAUCCCACAAGAGGUAUCCCAUGUUCAAGGACAAAUUGAUGCAGCUGAUUUCGAAGGACACGAACAUAUGGUCUUAUUUCAAAAUGAAAUGUACCACUGUGACAUAGAAGUCCUAAACAAGGCUUUCCCUGACAACAUACUAACCACUGAAGAGUUCCAUAUUACCAUGGAGGAUAAAAUCAUCAUUUCAAUGACCCCAGUUACUGAAGAACAGAAGACAGCAGCUACUAAAGAACUCCAAGUACAAAACCCUCAAGAAAACGAAUCCAGCAGUGAAUAAUCACUCAAUUCACCACAUUGGUACAGUAUGUGAACCAAACUUUGGUGUCAACCACCAUUAUAUUGAUGAAAUAUUGCUAAAAGCAAUAUAGACCCAACUUGCUCAAUUAUUUCCUCAUUAAACCAGAAAAUACAGAAAGAUAAUUUUCAUAUAUUAUAGAAUGAUAUCUCCCAUUGAAAAUGCACACUGUUUAUCCAACUUCAUGUUGACAAAACAAAAUGAAAAGGAAACAUAAAUACAUUGCUUUCAUUUAUGAUUAUCAUUUAUAAUAUAACUAUAAUAAACAAAAAUAACAAUUUUUAUGUUCAUAUUACAAAAUUUCACACAUUACUCUUAUCACUAAUUUUCGCUAUGUCCAUCAAUAAAUACCAAUAACAACAUUUAGGUCUGUUAUAAAUAUGACCUUAUUUCUUAUUUAUUACCACUUAUGUGUGCGCAUUUCAAUGAAAGGUAUCAACCAUAAACAAAAAUCUAUAUGCCACAAUACUGAAUUUGUCAAAUCCAUAUCUCUAAUCUCACCCUCCAACCAGUAAUUGGCUUAUAAUACUUCUCUCUCUAAUAAUUUAACUAAAUGUAUAUCUUUAAGUUUUAAAACCAUUCAAAAUUUCUGAGCUGACUUGACUCCAACUGCUAUCUCUACUGGUAGAAGGUCCGAUCGCAAUCUCUACUAAUAGAAUUUUCAAUUCUACCAGAUUGCAAUCUCUACCCUGACAAAAACAAUGUAUAUAAUCAAGUAGGAUAGUAUAUUUCCAUAAUUGUCUGUAUGUUUAUUAAAACAUUCCUAUAUACCUUUAAGCAUCAAUGACAUUCAGCCAUAUUAAAAUUAGUUUUACUUUUUGAAAUAACAAUGUUUUAACUUUUGACACAUAUGUAUUUCUUUCUUGACAUUCCUUUUAAACCAUGGUUUAUUUUGAUUUUAUUUUGACAGUGGUGUUGUACUUUAUUUCCUUCUUGUAAAAUAUUAUUAUUAUAUUAUAGCUAUUAUUAUAUUAAGUACAUUCCGUCUCAAAAGGUUAAAUAAUAUAUUUACAGCCUGCACUCUGACCUCAACAUAGUUUGUCUAAAGUAAUAUCCAUUUCUAUUGUUUCUCCUAACAUUGUUUCAUUUUAAAGUUCAAAUACUUUAACUUUACUACCUUUGUGUAUUUCUUAAUAUUAUUAGUAUCUCAUAUACAUUCCAUGUAUAAAAGGUAAAUAAUAUAAUUACAGUUUGCAUUCUCUUCUCAACAUACUUUGUUUAAUGUAAUAUGUCCUUUUUAUUGUCUCUUUGAAUAUUAUGUUCCAUUUUAAAGUUCAAAUACUUUAACUCUAUAUCCUUUUUGUCAAUAUUAUUAUUACCUUAUAACUAUUACUAUCUCAUGUACAUACCUUGUAUAUACACAAAUAUUUCCUUCUAAAAAUACAAAUAAUUAUUAUUAUAAUUUUCAAGGGUAAUACGAUCCCUUUGAACGCAUUUUCAAUCAUAAGUUGAUGAAAAAUAAUGACAAUUAUUAUGGAUAUACAGCUUCUCUUAUUCUGUGAACGCAAGGUUUCAACAUAGGUUCUAAUGUCAUCAUCAAGCCAAUUGAUACAUGAGUAACAAAUUAACAACAAUAUAUGCAUCAGUGUUGUUAAAGUAGAUGAAAUGAGUUGUUUAUGCAUCAAAUGAGAUUAAUGUACAACAUUUGUAUUAGAAAUUGAGUAAAUUGAUUCGAAGCCAGUAGGGUGACAUACAAGGACUAAAUUAGAGCUUAUACAACUGAUAAAACCAAGUGAAAAUUUAUACAAUGAAUAGGUGUUUAUACAAUGGAUGGUAUUGAUGCCAUAGUUAAAUAAAACAGAUAUUGUACAUAAAAAAUAUUAUUAAGUACUGUUAUCAAGUGAUGGUAAACAUUCAAAAUAUAAUAUCCUUCAUCUUUGUUAGAGGGCAAGUCCUAUCUCCUUGAUGUGUUCUACUUCCAAAAUAUACAAAUUUUGUAGUCUAACUGGUCCUCCACUAUGCUUUUAGUUUUAUCCCAUUUAAUGAUGUGCUUAAAAUGCAUGGCUAAUUAAUCCUAUGUAUGAAACAUUUAUAUUAAAGGAGGCUAUUUCUUGUCAAAACAGUUUUUAUUGAGUUGACGUUGUUGUUAAUGGUUUAUUGUUGGUCUGGUUCAAUCCUUGUAUGUCACCCUAUUGACUUCCUAUGAAUUUACCUAUUGUCUCAUGCAAACCUUGGACAUCAACUUCAUCUAUUGUACAAACAACUCAUUCCCUAUCUACUGUAACAACAACUUCUGUAUAUAUUCUCUCAAUUUGUUACACAUGUAUCACUUGCCUCAACAAAAUAAAAUAAAUUGUAUGUCCAUAAUAAUUGUCAUUAUUCCUCAGUAAUAACAUGUUUUGCUAACAGUGUUAGCAUCUACAUUAUUAGACAUUAUAUCUUCAGUCUUAACGCAUCAACAUAAAAGUUAAUAAAACAUUGUCUUAAGAGGAAAAAUAGCAUGAUUAUCAGCACUUAUUAUUCCUAAUCUGAAAUGUAGUUGAAUGAAGAUUAUAUGUACACUGUAUAUGAUAUAGUAAAAUUAUUCAUUUUUUACUUUAUUUUAAUUUUGGUUUUCUUAAUAAAAUUCAAAUACUUUCCACGCUAUUUC